AAUGAACGUUGGCGGCGUGGAUUAGGCAUGCAAGUCGUGCGGAAAGGCUCCUUCGGGAGUACUCGAGCGGCGUAAGGGAGAGUAACGCGUGGAUAUCUACCCCUGGACUGGGAUAGCGGCGGGAAACUGCCGGUAAUACCAGAUAAUGUCUGCGGACCAAAGGUGUGAUUCCGCCGGGGGAUGAGUUCGCGUCCUAUUAGCUAGUUGGUAGGGUAAUGGCCUACCAAGGCAAAGAUGGGUACCGGGUGUGAGAGCAUGGCCCGGCUCACUGGGACUGAGACACUGCCCAGACACCUACGGGUGGCUGCAGUCGGGAAUCUUCGGCAAUGGGCGCAAGCCUGACCGAGCGACGCCGCGUGCGGGAUGAAGGCCUUCGGGUUGUAAACCGCUGUCAGAGGGGAGGAAAUGCGUGAGAGUUCUCUCUCACGUUUGACCUAUCCUCAGAGGAAGUACGGGCUAAGUUCGUGCCAGCAGCCGCGGUAAAAC
rnacentral:rRNA from 1 species